rnacentral:lncRNA from 1 species
GAUAGAUAGUAUGCUCAAUCUACACACAUAUAUACAAAAACCAAGAAUUUCAGCAGUUUCUGGUUUCUGAUCAGAGAAAGGAACAUAAAGUAAAAAUUAGUUGAUCUUACUAAAUUCAAUUCCAGACGUUGUUUUUUUUUAAUAUUGGGCAUCUCUAGCGUGCUCUUGUACAUACGAAAAUAUAUGAUGAAUAUUAUUAUGAUGACUCAUACAGUCAGAGUCUAUAUAACGCAUACAAUUUACAAGAUCAGGAAACAAAUUGGAGGGAGAUACAAGUUUGGUAAACAUAGCCAUUGAUACCUCAGUGGGAAAGGAAUUCAAAAGUAGGUUUUGUGGAUCAAGAGAAAUGUACUUUUUUUUUUUUUUUCAUGAACUUUAAUCAUUUUUCAUGUGGUUCCUAUAUGUGAGUGAGCUAUAACGUGAUCUAAUUUUUACAACAAAAAGACCUUCCUCUUCUGUUCUAAUCUUCCCACUGACUUUACUGCACAGGUAUGAAAUGGUAGCCUAUUGGAUCUUUAGUAACUUUUUUUUUCCCUAGAUGACUGAAACAUAGGUAUUUACUCCAUUUAAACCAGGUGUUUAAAAAAAUGAUGUAAAUACUCAGGGUAUUAACUUGUCAUUUUUGCCUAAUUGGAGUGUUUAAAGUGCCAUAUCUAAGCAACUUUCAGUUCAUAAUUCUAGAGUAAAUUCAGUUUGGUAAAGGGGCUUCACACGUGGUGGUGGUUAAACAUUCACUUUUUUAUAUUUAGAUGAAAAUGUUUGUGGACUGAUACAUUUUCUCUUAGUGAAUACGAAUUGUUUAUGUAUCUCUACUGUCAUACCCUUUUUGAAACUCAGGAAAGACAAAGGUUCAAUUCUACUACUUUUGUCAGUAUACAAACCAGGUGUGUUAUUUUUCCUGUUGUCUGGAUAUGGCAAUAGAUUUUUUAAAAAGAAAGGCUGUGAGAACCCAUACGUGAAAAGAGAGGAUUGAAUUGUUUGUGCCUUUUGUUUCUUGAGAUUUAUAUGUGGAAAGGACAUCAUCUACUCCAGACUGUAUUUUCAAAGAGAAGAAAUUGCUAUUUAUGUGGUGCCAAGUGAUAAAAUAAUGUCUCUUAAAGGCUUCCUGUGGACUGCCUUUAUUUUCCUAAGCUCAAGACACCAGUUAACCUCAACAUAAAUUUGGCCUUUAUUAGAAUUUCUGUGCAUUAUAUUGAAAGCUAGGUUUACAUCACCUCACCCCAUUAUUCCUUUUAGUUACAUAAAUAAAUUCACCAUACCAAGAAACCAGAAUGGGGCAAUUUGGUUGGCCUUUAAGGCAACAGGUUUGACUAGCUAGCUAUACUUAUUGUCACAUCUAAUGCUAGGUAUCAGAAACCACUUGAGCCGGAAGUGUGAACUGAUAAUUCCAGAGACAUUGUCAACGUACUUCAUACUUUUUUAAAAAUGUUUUUUAUGGAUGUUUUACAUUUGUGUGAUUGCCUUAGGUAUUAAAUUAGUGCUAAAGAUCAUCAUUAAAAAUUUUUUUAAAUAGCAGUAGUUGUAACUUAUUUUAUAUAUUGUCCCAAAGAAAAGAAUUUGUUUUAAUGUUUUCAAAAUAACUGCAUCUGUAUUUGCUUAUGUGCCUUAAGUUCUCUAGUUCUGUUUCAACUUUUUUUUUAAUCUAAAGUUUACCUUAGAUAAGUUCCAUACUUAUUUCCUAUAAAUUGCUCUUAAAAUGUUUAAUGAGCAUCAACUAUGUGGUUGCUUGGCAGGAAGGAAAAUGUUAAGAAAGUGGUUUGGUGUUUGGAGUUUUACUAUAUUUGGGAAGGUUUUUUGUUUGAUGCCAAGCUGCUUUUUAAGAUUUUAAGAAAAAAUCCUUGUAAACAUCAUCAAUAUCUAUAUCCAGUGUCAAAAAAGUAAAUCUACUUACUCUUGUUCCAUUCUUAGGUACUGUUUUUUUGUUUUUUCCUCUACAGACUCUUUCAUUUAUCUUUUUUGAAAAAGUUCUUAAUCUUUCCUCCCCCAAUACCCACUCCAUGGUUUCUUUAUUUAAAUCUUGUUGAAAGUCUCUGGAGCUAAUCUAAGACAACACAAUUAUAGAGUUGAACAAAAGCGUACUGUGCUUUACAACAUGUACAGACCUGUGGCAGCCAGAUGUCAUUUGCUUUCAGAUGCUCCAGUCUUCACAGUUAAAAAAAAAAUGCUCCUUGUUUCUUUGUUUUCAUCAGUUGCGGCACACUAAUACUUUCAUGUCUCGUCUAAAAUAUACUUUGUGCAUAGUUUUUCUUUAAUUUUUAAAAAGUUGUAUCUAAUAAAAAAAAAGUCUUUUAACCAUUAUUACUUGACUACAGUUGUAUUAAAUUUUAUUUACC